AAGUCGGUUGUGAAAGCCUUCCGCUCAACGGAAGAACGGCAUCCGAUACUGCAUGGCUUGAGUGUGGGAGGGGAGAGUGGAACUUCUGGUGGAGCGGUGAAAUGCGUAGAUAUCAGAAGGAACACCGGCGGCGAAGGCGACUCUCUGGUCCAUAACUGACGCUGAGUGUGCGAAAGCCAGGGGAGCAAACGGGAUUAGAUACCCCGGUAGUCCUAGCCGUAAACGAU
rnacentral:rRNA from 1 species